rnacentral:lncRNA from 1 species
GAAUCAGCCAUCCUUAUGGUGCAGGAGAACAGAAGAGAUCUUGAGAUCAUCCAGUAUCAACUCAACACUUCACAGACAGGGAAAUGGAAGCCGAGGACGGUGUUUUAUUCAUCAUCAAUGCCUCCUUCCCCUCUCUCAUUUCUGUUGCAUGAAAGACCUGCCUCCUCUCUGGAUCCGUUGGUUAAGCAGAGGCACCUGCACAUAGGAAAUGGCUGGGAUGAAGGCCUGGCCCUGGACUCUUCCUCUGCUCUCCCAGAAUUUGCACUUAACUGGUACCCACAAAUUACUCACCCUGGUUAGGACCCUCCAAUUUGGGCAUUUUUUUCUUUUCUUUUCUUUUCUUGAAAGGCAGGGAGACACAGAGAGGGAGAUCUUCCACCUGCUGGAUUACUCCUCAAAUACCUGCAGCAGCCAGGGCUGGACCAGGUCAAAGUCAGGAGCCUGGAACUCAAUCCAGGUCUCUCCCAUGGAUGACAGGGCCUCAGGUUCUUGAGCCAUCACCUGCUGACCCCAAGAAAGCACAUUAGCAGGAAACUGGAUUGGAAGUGGAGGAGCCAGGACUCGAACCAGGCACUCUGAUGUAGGAUAUGGGCAUCCCUAGUGGUGACCUAAGAUACUGUGCCAAACACUUGUCCUGAAUUUGGCCAGUUAGGAAUUUCAUGCAAUUCCAACAAGAGCAAUGUGUUUCAGGAAAACAUGAAGAUGCAUUGAGAUUUGGGGAGAAUUUUUGGUAAGGUGGAGGUAUCAUGAUUGCCCAGUUGCAGGAGAGUUUUGGCUUCAGGCGACAAGGGGACACUGGGCAGGUAGCCUGAAACUCUGGAGCCUACACAGUUUGUCUGCCAGAGCUGACCUGUGACCUGUCAUGGUCGAGGAGGCCAAAAAAGCAGGGAAAACAAGACAGCUACUGUGGGCAUCAGGAGAACUCAGGAGGCAAGCUGAAUGGCCAAGAGGAAACCAAGCUGGGUCCCAGAAGCCCAGUGGCAGCUGGCUCCUGCAGGAGGCCUGGUGAUGUGACUGAGUUCCACAGUAAGACACCUGGGCUGUGAUGCCCUGCAUGUCUGCACCCUAAUUACUUGUUAACCUCACAUUUACACUGAAUAUACUUCUCUGUGAGUGAGGUUUUUGUACGAUGCUGUCGCUCCCCGUCUUCGUGGAGGAAUGACAAAGGACCCUGCGCUGUUCUUUUGUCUGCUCGGCCCUUCCCUGGUUUGCUGCUAGUUCUUCCCGGGUUGGCUACUGACCCUUCCACCUCCGUGGAAGGGCGGUUCCCCCAGCCACUUUCCCCACUUCCGCAGGAGAG